UCCUAGAGAUUAGCAGAUUGCAUUGCGUG
rnacentral:piRNA from 1 species